AGAGUUUGAUCCUGGCUCAGAACGAACGCUGGCGGCGUGGAUUAGGCAUGCAAGUCGAACGCGAAAGGGGAGCAAUCCCUGAGUAGAGUGGCGAACGGGUGAGUAACGCGUGAAGAACCUGCCUUCAACAGGGGGAUAACACUCCCAACGGGGUGCUAAUACCGCAUGAGACCACGGGUCUGCAUGGACCUGAGGUCAAAGGUGGCCUCUGCUUGCAAGCUACCGGUUGAAGAUGGCUUCGCGUCCCAUUAGCUAGUUGGCGGUGUAAAAGACCACCAAGGCGACGAUGGGUAGCUGGUCUGAGAGGAUGGUCAGCCACACUGGGACUGAGAUACGGCCCAGACUCCUACGGGAGGCAGCAGUCGAGAGGCUUCGGCAAUGGGGGAAACCCUGACCGAGCGACGCCGCGUGGAGGAUGAAGGCCCCUGGGUUGUAAACUCCUUUUGCUGGGGAAGAAAUGCGAUCAGGUGAACAAUCUGGUCGUUUGACGGUACCCGGCGAAUAAGCUCCGGCUAACUCCGUGCCAGCAGCCGCGGUA
rnacentral:rRNA from 1 species